rnacentral:lncRNA from 1 species
AUCGUUUAUUAAUGAUAAUGGUUGCUGGUAUGUUCAGAAUUACCAGUGGACGUCAGUAAGAGGUUACAAGGGGAAAGUUAAUACGAACUUACAAAAAGAAAAGUUAAGGCAUUAGAUAUCUUAAUUACAAUUCACCCCAGACUGAACGAAUUCUUUCCCUAAGUCUCCCCCAAUCCUGGCUCUGCUGAGAAGAACUGACAUUCAAUUCAGUCACAAAAUCAUCAUAAACCUCCAGCUUCUUGUACUACUCGACCAAAGACUUGGUUCGCUCAAUUCCUUGGGAGACAUUACGUUUUUUAGCCACCAUUCUCGCCUUGCAGUCGUCCAUCCUUGCUUGAAGCUCCUUCAUCUGUGCAACCAAACUAGUCAUCAAAGAGUCUUCAAUCAUAACUUCGGAAGAGAUUUCUUUCAAUUCGUCCUCAGCUUUGUUGAUCUCCAGAAGCAAAGACUCUCUUUCAGAUACAGCGCGAAGAUAUUGAGUACUUUUGGCCUUCAGUUCAACAUUUUUGGCCAGCAAUGAGAGAAUCUCGGAAUGGACAACUUUCAACGUCGCUUUAAAAUCAGCAGAAAGAUUGAGCGACGGAAGUGUCAGUGCUUGUGCCAACUUCACAUUCAAAUGCUCAAGCUUAUCCUUAUGUUGGCAGCACUAGCCUGACCGAUGUCCAUAUCCAUAAAGGACACAUACUCAAAUAUCGACUGCUUGAGGAACUUCACAUCUUCCUCUGAAGAAGCAGAAUGACGACUGGUUAAAGCAGGGCAAGACGUCUUGACUUGCCCCCGGGAAGUGAACAAGUCUUGGAUAGAACGCACAAUCUUAUCAGCAUCCUACAAAGAAAAUUGUCAACAUUGAAAGUUUUCACUACAAUAAACAAAGUGGAAGUAAAAGUGAAGCAAAGGUUAUCUCAUCAGCAAUCUUGGGGGGUAGCAUAUCCCCAGCCAAGUCUACCACCUGUGGCUUCACCACUUGUGAGGACUUUCCCUUGCCUGGACGAGAAGACUUUGCCACAACGAGCAAACCCAUAG